UACGUAGGGGGCAAGCGUUGUCCGGAUUCAUUGGGCGUAAAGAGCGUGUAGGCGGCCAGGUAGGUCGGUUGUGAAAACUGGAGGCUCAACCUUCAGAGGUCGACCGAAACCAUCUGGCUAGAGUCCGGGAGAGGAGAGUGGAAUUCCUGGUGUAGCGGUGAAAUGCGCAGAUAUCAGGAAGAACACCCGUGGCGAAAGCGGCUCUCUGGGCCUUGCCUGACGCUGAGGCGCGAAAGCUAGGGGAGCGAACAGG
rnacentral:rRNA from 1 species